rnacentral:rRNA from 1 species
AUUGAACGCUGGCGGCAUGCUUUACACAUGCAAGUCGAACGGCAGCACGGGGGCAACCCUGGUGGCGAGUGGCGAACGGGUGAGUAAUGCAUCGGAACGUGCCCCGUCGUGGGGGAUAACACAUCGAAAGAUGUGCUAAUACCGCAUACGACCUGAGGGUGAAAGCGGGGGACCGCAAGGCCUUGCGAGAUGGGAGCGGCCGAUGUCUGAUUAGCUAGUUGGUGGGGUAAAGGCCUACCAAGGCGACGAUCAGUAGCUGGUCUGAGAGGACGACCAGCCACACUGGGACUGAGACACGGCCCAGACUCCUACGGGAGGCAGCAGUGGGGAAUUUUGGACAAUGGGGGCAACCCUGAUCCAGCCAUGCCGCGUGCGGGAAGAAGGCCUUCGGGUUGUAAACCGCUUUUGGCAGGAACGAGACGGUGCGGGCGAAUACCCUGUGCUAAUGACGGUACCUGCAGAAUAAGCACCGGCUAACUACGUGCCAGCAGCCGCAGUAACAC